UUUGAUCCUGGCUCACGACGAACGCUGGCGGCAUGCUUAACACAUGCUAGUCGAGCGCCGUACCUAUACGGAGCGGUAGACGGGAGAGUAACACGUGGGAACGUACCUUGCGGUUCGGAAUAACCCUCUGGAAACUUGGGCUAAUACCGGAUACGCCCGCAAGGGGAAAGAUUUAUUGCCGAAAGAUCGGCCCGCGUCCGAUUAGCUAGUUGGUGAGGUAACGGCUCACCAAGGCGACGAUCGGUAGCUGGUCUGAGAGGAUGAUCAGCCUCACUGGGACUGAGACACGGCCCAGACUCCUACGGGAGGCAGCAGUGGGGAAUUCUCCGCAAUGGGCGAAAGCCUGACGGAGCA
rnacentral:rRNA from 1 species